CUUUCCACCCGAGCGCGAGGUAGACGCCGGGGCCACCCGCAGCACGCAGAGCUUCUGGGAGCCGGUGGCAAGGCCGAAUUGGGAUGCAAACCAAAUGGACGUGGGUGACUGGCAGAAAACGCCUCCCACAAAUGGGAGGGAUUUCGGAGGGAACCGAAAGAAAGUUGUAGGCAAUUUGUGCGAGCAAGGGGCUCUUCUCCACACAGACACUCAGGGACCACAGUCUCCACCAUCUUAUAGAGGCACUUCCUUGAACAUGUGGUCCUCUCAGCGCCUGCAGCAGAAGAGAGCACUGGAGAGUGCCUGUCCUUGGAAUUAGUUCUUCUUCCCUAAUUAGAGUGAACUACUACAGCCACCCCAACCUUGAGCAACCAUCACUCUGAUCAAUCAGCAGCCAUCAACAUUGAGACAAGACUCUCCACCAGCAAAAAGAUUAUGACUUGUCCGGGUGCGGUGGCUCACACCUGUAAUCCCAGCACUUUGGGAGGCUGAGGCAGACAGAUCAUCUGAGGUCAGGAGUUCGAGACCAGCCUGACCAACAUUGUGAAACCUGUCUCUACUAAAAAUACAAAAAAUUAGCCGGGCAUGGUGGUAGGCACCUAUAAUCUCAGCUAUUUGUAAGGCUGAAGCAGGAGAAUUGCUUGAACCUGGGAGGUGGAGGUUGCAGUGAGCCGAGAUCACAUCAUUGCACUCCAGCCU
rnacentral:lncRNA from 1 species